ACACGAAUAGCUUCAGUCGUUUUCCAGCGCUUCCAGCGCUAACUUCUACUCAUCCAUCCAAAAAAAAAUAUUAAAUAAGCAAAGCACCAACAAAUUAUAAUAAAAAUUGCAAAAACAUUUUGGCAUUAAAGAUUUGGUAAACCUAUUUUCGUUAAAAAAUAGUCUGCACACAAAAAAAACUUGGAAAAUUAGUGAAAUAUUGGUAUUCCAUAUUGUGAAAAGAGCGAGGAAUUUUUUAUAAAUUCUGUGAAGAGCUAGAAGCUUAUUGAUUAACGCCAGAAGUAAAUUUUACGCCAGAAGCUUUAAAAAAAGCAAUAUGGAAACCCAGGAUCGUCAGAUCAAGGUGUGGAUCCUUCAGCUAUUGUAUACAAAUUAACAAAACGUCUCUCGUACCAUACAAAUUCCUAUAUCAAUCUUAAAAAAAAAACAACCAAGCAACCCAAGACGAUACAAAAUAUAAUAAAAAUGGGCAUUCAGCCCCAAAAACUGGGGUUUCAAAAACAAACCUCCAACUUAAGUAUAAGGUUUUUAAAAAAAGACAAAACUGUACAGAGGACCAACUGCUUCCAGCGCUUGAUACCCAAAAAAAAAGCAAAGUUUUAAUUGGACCGACGAUGUUAACAAAAAAGCAGAAAGUGCGUAAUGGGGAUCGGAUAGCCCCACGUUAGGAUUAAGCUCAAAGAUGAUUCAUUAGUUUUAACUAGUUUGAGUUUAUUCAUUUAUCCUUUCCGGAAGGAAUUAGAAUUAAAAAAUAUUUACAAAAUAUGCGGGAUUCAAGGUUAUGGAACAGAAUAAACAGCGUAUUCAUUGUCCUCGCCAUUGGACGAACGGCUUCCAUCCAUCCAUCCAUCGGGAACGCAGAUUUAGGUCACUCUCCUCUUAGCCCUGAGAACACAGGCAAUUUCCAAGACUCCAGUUGCACAUCUUUUGGGAUCGAAAGGUGUAUGUAUAUAUAUUUAUCUGUUAUAUUGAUGGAAUACAUUUCACGGCGUGGUAUAAAAAGCAUCAUAAUAUGCGGAUAUACCUCCCCUGAAAUUGAUCGGACUAGGUACAAGCGAUAAACACUACAGAGAGAUACUACAGUCAUCAAAAUUGUGUGUUCAAAUUAAAUAAAAUUCUUUCGGCCAAAA
rnacentral:sRNA from 1 species